GAGUUAGCGAUGAUUAUAAAAGUAAUUCCUCGUUCUGACUUACUUAAAUUAGACAUGACAAUUGACAAACCUCUUAUUACAACCAUAGAAUCUGAGCUCC
rnacentral:snoRNA from 1 species